rnacentral:lncRNA from 1 species
AGUCGGCGUGCCUUGCAGCUGUUGGCUUGACCCCAGGCCGGGACGGGCAGAGCGGAACACUGCCCGGCGGGUCCAGGCCGACCGUGCCUGUGGCUCUCCGGAACAAUAAACCCCCGGCCCCAGUGAUGUGGGCCAGACCGGACCUGGAGAGGCGGCACCGCGACCCCUCCCGCAACCCGCCUGGCGGCCGGGGGCAGCGUGACCCGGCCCGCUACCGUGUCACAGCUGGCGACUGACAAACAGCAGGCGACGUCGGGAGAACUCCCCGAGACACCCGAGACAUCAGCCUUCUCGCUCCGCGGCCCUGCAGGACCUGCCCGCCGGGAGCCCCGGAGUCCGCGGCAGCGCCGAGGGCCCCUCCCCCAGGCCUCUGGGCUCUGAGGCUCAUCCAUGGAAUACCAAUUCUUUUUCUUAGUGUUCACAUUGGAUUUUUCUGUUAAAAAUAGAUUGUUGGAGUUGGCUAACAAGUUGAUUACUUCCAGUCAGGCACUCUCUUCUGUAAAGUCUCUUUUGUAAACUCCUACAAGCAGCUAUUUCACUGGAUUUGAAAAGACUGACUAAAAAGAACCAUGCACUGUAACUCUCAAGUAUACAGGAAUAUUGUUAUUAGGUAAUUUUUUUUUUCAAUAUGUGUUAACCUUGUCUUCCCUACAAUUUUCUUUUUCUUUUUUUUUUUUUUUUGAGAUGGAAUCUCACUCUGUCGCCCAGGCUGGAGUGCGGUGGCACAAUCUCAGCUCACUGCAACCUCUACUGCCUGGGUUCAAGCGAUUCUCCUGCCUCAGCCUCCUGAGUAGCUGGGAUUACAGACGCGCGCCACCAUACCCAGCUAAUUUUUUGUAUCUUUAGUAGAGACGGGGUUUCACCAUCUUGGCCAGGCUGGUCUUGAACUCCUGACCUUGUGAUCCACCCGCCUCAGCCUCCCAAAGUGCUGGGAUUACAGGCAUGAGCCACGGCGCCCAGCCUCCCUACAGUUUUCAAACAUUCAGAGAGGUGAUUAUGGUGUAUCUUUUAUUCUGUUUUGCUUUGGAUCUUGGCGUUCUUCUAGAGAACUCAUCUGCUCAGGAGCUUCUCAGUGCAUCUUCCCUCCCAAACUUGUCUUACCCAGCAGAGAAUGAAUGUACUCAAGAUUACCAGUUUUGCAGAUGAAUAAACCAAUGAUUCCAGAGGUUAUGGUGCAUAUCUAGAGUCACAUGACUAAGAAAUGAUAAAACCAGGAUUUCAGCCAGGUUAUCUGUUUCAAGACAUUUUCAGACAAAAAAAUCUGGAGUUUGCCACCAACAAGAAAUGAUCCUAGCCUCAGCAUCUCAGCCCACACUGGGAGUGUCAGGUGCUGAAAAAAAAUUUUUUUAAUUUUACAUAGUAAAUAAUUUUAUAAAAAAGAAAGAAAUGAUCCCUUAUACAAGAAGGAAUGAUAAAAAUAUUAGUAAAUAAGUGGUUAAAACUAAAAACUUUUUACCAUACAAAGUAAUAGUAAGUAAUUUGUGUGGUUAAUAAGGUAAAGCAAGAUGGAACUGAUACUCUGGACAACAAAGUCAUAUAUUUAGAAGCAGGAUGAGUGGAGUGAUGGUUGGAGUUGAAGUUUUCCAAGGUCCUGGUAUUGUUUGGGAAGUGGGUAAAAAUAUUGAUUAACUUUAACCUUUACUCUUUUAAGUGUAUAAGAUAAAAUAUGUAGGGUAACUGCUUUUCCAAAUUAACAGAAGAAAAUAGAAUAAAGAAAAAUACAAAAAAAAAGGCCGAGCAUGGUGGCUCACGCCUGUAAUCCCAGCACUUUGAGAUGCUGAGGCGGAAGGAUUGCUUGAGACCAGGAGUUUAAGACCAGCCUGUGCAACAUAGCCAGACUCCCUCCCAGCUCUACAAAAAACAAAAGAGAUUAGCCAGCUGUGGUGGUGCACACCUAUAGUCCCAGCUACUUGGGAGGCUGAGGCAGGGGGAAUACAUUUCAGUUUUAAAGAGUGCAAAAUGGACAAGAAAAUAAAACUUAGGCCAGGUAUGGUGGCUCACGCCUGUAAUCCCAGCACUUUGGGAGGCUCAGGCAGGUGAAUUGCUUUAACUAAGGGGCUCAAGACCACCCUGGACAACAUGAUGAAACCCCAUCUCUACCUAAAAUACAAAAAAAUUGGCUGGGUGCGGUGGCUCACACCUGUAAUCCUAGCACUUUGGGAGGCUGAGAUGGGCAGAUCACCUGAGGUCAAGAGUUCAAGACCAGCCUGCCCAACAUGGCAAAACCCCAUCUCUACUAAAAAUACAAAAAUUACCCGGGCAUGCUGGCAUGUGCCUGUAAUCCCAGCUACUUAGGAGGUUGAGGCAGGAGAAUCACUUGAACUCAGGAGACGGAGGUUGCAGUGAGCCGAGAUCACGCCACUGCACUCCAGCCAGAGCAAGACUCCAUCUCAAAAAAAUUAGCCAGACAUCAUGGCACAUGCCUGUGGUCCCAGCUAGUCAGGAGGCUGAAGUGGGAGGAUCUCUUGAGCCCAGGAGUUCAAAGUUACGGUGAGCAAUGAUCUUGCCACUGUACACCAGCCUAGAUCACAAAGCAAGACUGUCUCUUUUAAAAAAAAAAGGCCAGGCAUGGUGUCUCACACCUAUAAUCCUAGCACUUUGGGAGGCUGAGGUGGGCGGAUUACUUGAAGUCAGGAGUUCGAGAUCAGCCUGGCCAGCAUGGUGAAACCCCUUCUCUACUAAAAAUACAAAAAUUAGCUAGGCAUGGUUGCAUGCACCUGUAGUCCCAGCUAUUUGGGAGGCUGAAGCAUGAGAAUCGCUUGAACCUGGGAGGCAGAGUUUGCAGUGAGCUGAGAUUAUGCCACUGCGCUCCAGCCUGGGCAACAGAGCAAGAUCCUGUCUCAACAAAAAACCAUUUCACCUCUUUAUGUGGCUUCUAGAAAAUUUAAAAUCACAUUUGUGACUUCCAUUUUAUUUCUCUUGGACAGCACUGAUCUAGGAUAUAUAUAGAACUAAUGUAAGUGAAUAAGAGAAAGACAACCCAGCUUUUUAAAUUGGUAAAUACCUCAGAAGAGGAAAAAUUAAUGUCCAGGAAACAUUUGAAAAGCUGUUUCAGGGAAAUCAGGGUGCUGGUCAGAGUGUUAAUUGAUACAAUCAUUUUGGAAAACAAGUUGGUUGGCAUUACCUAGUAGAGUUGCAUAUGGGCAUAUCUUAAAACCCAACAAUUGUUCUUAGAUAUACAAAUUAAAACUCUUGCAAAUAUACACCAAAAGACAUGUCUAGGAAUGUCUGUAGCAGUAUUGGCAAAUGGGCAAAUGUCUAUCAACUAUAGUAUAUAUAAUGAACUACUAUUAAACAGCUUAAAAGGCAGGGUUUUGCAUUUGUUGCUGAGGCAGGAGUAUCACCUCAAACACUUGGGCUCAAGCGAUCUUCCCACCUCAGUCACCCAAGUAGCUGGGACCACAGGUGUACUCCACCAUGCCUGGAUUUUUUUUUCCCCUGUCUUAUGGUGCUGAUGUAUAAUUGUUUUUUAGUUUUUUUAGAAACAGGGUCUCGCUAUGUUGCCCAGGUUGGUCUUGAACUCCUGGCCUCAAGUGAUCUUCCCACACUGGUGUCCCAAAGCAUUGGGAUUACAAGCAUGUGCCACCAAGCCUGGCCAUAACUGAAAUUUUCAGCUAUGCCUACCAAAAUGGUAAAGUCUUGGGGACAUAAUAAUGAACAGGAAAUAAAAGGCAUAGAAUGUUUUUCCAUUUAUGUAAAGUUUUAAGAGUCAAAAUUAAACAACAGAUGGUGUUGAGAAAUAUGGUAAAACUAUAACCAAGAGAAAGGUAAAGAAAAAUUUUAGGAUAGUUUUGGUUUGGUUUGGUUUUCCUUUCUGAACAGGAAAAGGGAUUAUAUAGGGGACACCCAGGAGGCCUCAGAGCACAGGUAAAUUUGUAUUUCUUAAACUAGUUAGUAAGUGGACAGAUAUUUGUUUUGUUAUUUUGUCUACACUAGAUGUAAUGAAUGUUAUUUAUAUCUAUUUAUUAUUCCGUAACAACUAUGUGUGUGCGUCCUUUGACCCAGCAAAUUCUAUUUCUAAAAUUUUGGUUCACGGAAAUAAAAGCACUCGUACAUA